GACGUAGGGCGCGAGCGUUGUCCGGAUUAUUGGGCGUAAAGAGCUCGUAGGCGGCUUGUCGCGUCGGCUGUGAAAACCCGCGGCUCAACUGUGGGCGGGCAGCUGAUACGGGCAGGCUGGAGUUCGGUAGGGGAGACUGGAAUUCCCGGUGUAGCGGUGAAAUGCGUAGAGAUCGGGAGGAACACCGGCGGCGGAAGGCGGCUGCCUGGACCAGUCCUGACGCUGAGGCGCGAAAGCUAGGGGAGCAAAGCAGG
rnacentral:rRNA from 1 species